rnacentral:rRNA from 1 species
UGCAGUCGAGGGGCAGCAGACCACUUCGGUGGUGCUGGCGACCGGCGCACGGGUGAGUAUCGCGUUUGCAACCUACCCUUAACUGGGGGAUAGCCCGAAGAAAUUCGGAUUAAUACCCCAUUAAAUUUAAGAACGGCAUCGUUUUUUUAUUAAAGCUCUGGCGGUUAAGGAUGGGCAUGCGUGACAUUAGUUUGUUGGUGAGGUAACGGCUCACCAAGACUACGAUGUCUAGGGGGUCUGAGAGGAUGAUCCCCCACACUGGUACUGAGACACGGACCAGACUCCUACGGGAGGCAGCAGUGAGGAAUAUUGGGCAAUGGACGCAAGUCUGACCCAGCCAUGCCGCGUGCAGGAUGACGGCCCUAUGGGUUGUAAACUGCUUUUAUACAGGAAGAAACCCUCCUACGUGUAGGAGGUUGACGGUACUGUAAGAAUAAGCAUCGGCUAACUCCGUGCCAGCAGCCGCGGUAAUACGGAGGAUGCAAGCGUUAUCCGGAUUUAUUGGGUUUAAAGGGUGCGCAGGCGGGGCAAUAAGUCAGUGGUGAAAUCCUGCGGCUUAACCGUAGAACUGCCAUUGAUACUGUUGCCCUUGAGUAUAGUUGAGGUGGGCGGAACAUGUAAUGUAGCGGUGAAAUGCAUAGAUAUUACAUAGAACACCAAUUGCGAAGGCAGCUCACUAAACUAUCACUGACGCUGAGGCACGAAAGCGUGGGGAGCGAACAGGAUUAGAUACCCUGGUAGUCCACGCCGUAAACGAUGAUCACUCGUUGUUGGCAAUAUAUCGUCAGCGACUGAGCGAAAGCA